rnacentral:rRNA from 1 species
UUUUUCCUACGGGGCGCAGCAGUAGGGAAUAUUGCUCAAUGGGGGAAACCCCGAAGCAGCAACGCCGCGUGGAGGAUGAAGGUUUUCGGAUUGUAAACUCCUUUUGUUAGAGAAGAUAAUGACGGUAUCUAACGAAUAAGCACCGGCUAACUCCGUGCCAGCAGCCGCGGUAAUACGGAGGGUGCAAGCGUUACUCGGAAUCACUGGGCGUAAGGAGCGCGUAGGCGGGAUAGCAAGUCAGAUGUGAAAUCCUAUGGCUUAACCAUAGAACUGCAUUUGAAACUGUUUUUCUAGAGUAU